UUUCGCAAUGCCCGAAAGGGUGACGGAGCGACGCCGCGUGGAGGAUGAAGGCCUUCGGGUCGUAAACUCCUGUCACACGGGAAGAAAACUGUCGGGGAUAACAUUCCUGGCACGUGACGUUACCGUGAGAGGAAGCGCCGGCAAACUUCGUGCCAGCAGCUGCGGUAAUACGAAGAGCGCGAGCGUUGUUCGGAAUCACUGGGCUUAAAGGGCACGUAGGCGGGGGGAUAAAUCAAGGGUGAAAUCCCAAUUCUCAAUGUUGGAACUGCCCUUGAAAAUGUCCUUCUUGAGUGCAGGAGGGGAGAGCGGAACUCUUGGUGGAGCGGUGAAAUGCGUAGAUAUCAAGGGGAACGCCGGCGGCGAAAGCGACUCUCUGGACUGCUACUGACGCUGAGGUGCGAAAGCCAGGGGAGCAAAAAGGAUUAGAUACCCUUGUAGUCCUAGCCGUAAACGAUGGGCACUAAGUAGAGGGGUUUUA
rnacentral:rRNA from 1 species